AGAGAAAGCCCUUCGGGGCGCAUCUCCACCCAUUGCCUGUUAUACAUUAGUUGCUUUGGCGGGCCGAGGCUUUGCCCCGCUGGCUCUUGCAGCUCGCGAGCCCCGCCGAAGGUCAAAAUUAAAACUCUUGAAGUAAACCUUGAAGUCUGAAUAUAAACUAUGAAAAUAGCCUAAAACUUUCAACAACGGAUCUCUUGGUUCU
rnacentral:misc_RNA from 1 species